CCCUGACUCAGUCUCGGCCCUCUUAGACGUCUCAUCAUCUUUAUCACUUGUUUCACUAACAUCCAUUACAUUUUCCUAUCUUGUUCAACAUCCUCUUCUCCUAAUGUGCUCUUUCUUGACUCAAUCUCCACCUGCUCUGCCCUCUUAGGUGCCUCAUCUUCUUUAUCACUAGUUUCACUGCGACCUUUCUGAGCUUCAACAUCCAUAUCAUUUUCCUUAUCUUGUUCAACAUCCUCUUCUCCUAAUGUGCUCUUUCUUGACUCAAUCUCCACCUGCUCUGCCCUCUUAGGUGCCUCAUCUUCUUUAUCACUAGUUUCACUGCGACCUUUAUGAGCUUCAACAUCCUCAUCUCUAGCUUCCAUCUCUCCUACAACGCUCUUCUUCUCCACUUUCUUCUUGUUAGCACGGGCUUGGCUCAGAACCAUAUCCAAAUCCAGAAAAGAAUCAUCUCCACCAAUCUCUUUC
rnacentral:lncRNA from 1 species